GGGACAUGUCUGUGGAGUUUCUGAGGCCUUUGCUGGGACUGCAUUGCUUUGUUGGACUCUCCCUCUGACCAGUCUGCUUUCUUCUUCUCUCUUCCACAGGUAUUAAUCCCUAGAGAACUCUCUUACAAAUUUCCUAAACGCUAAUGUCAGAAUUUGCCUUCCAAAGGAUCCAGCCUAAGAUGUGUCCAGUUCAGGAAAGUGUCCUGAAACAUUACAUUCAGCUGAGUUGUGGGCACUGAGAGAGAGAAACGCAAACAGAGAGUACUUAUGAUUCCAGGGAUCAACUUAAGUGAAGACCCAGACGACUUAAAGACUCAACACCAAAACUUUGAAAACCUUGCCUGUCUCAUCUGGGGCCUGACACAGUCUUUGUUGAAUGAAUUAAUAAUGAUAGGCUGCAGUACAAGAGUACAGUGUCAUAGUCAUGGAUCGCUGCAGUCUUGACCUCCUGGGCUCAAGAAAUUCUCCCACCUUGGCCUCCAAAGUUGCAAGGACUGCAGGAGCAUACCACUAUGCCUGACUAAUUUUUUAAAAAAAUUUGUAGAGAUGGUGUCUCAGUAUGUUUCCCAGGCUGGUCUCGAACUCCUGGGCUCAAGCCAGCCUUCUGCCUCAGCCUCCCAAAGGACUGAGAUUAUAGGCAUGAGCCACUGCACCUGAAAAUCAUACAACUUCUUAUCAGAGGAUGGCAACAAGAAGAGCAAGACUUAAAUGUUUUAGAUGUAUUUUACAGUUUUUAGAAAUUCAGUCUUGUCUACUCACCAUCUGCUCAUACCCUACCCAUCUUCAAGAUUUCUCUCAAACUCCCUUCCCCAUCUCCUCUAGCUCCACCUGGCCUCUUUCUUUCCUAACUCCCUUUGCCACACAACACACACCUUAUUAGAGCUUGCUGAGUACUGAUUGCCAGUGCUAGAUAGCUACUCUGAGUACUGAUUGCCAGCGCUAGAUAUCUACUCUUAGGUAUACAUUUUGGUAUACACUGUCUUGCUCUUCAUACAUAUAUAUAUAUAUGUAUGUAUUUUUCUUUCUUUCUUUUCUUUCCAACAAGGCUAUAAGCACUGCCCCAAUCAAUUGAGAGUUGUUAAGGCUGGAACUUCUCUUAGUAAUAAACUUCACAGUGGUAUUGCCUUACCAAAAAAUCUCUAUAUUCAAACUAGAAAAUGUGCAACUUUUUAACAUUCUUCAACCCAGCAGCUUCAAGCCCACAGAGACUUGAAAAUCAACAAAGGCACUUUAAAAUAUCUCAUUUAAUUAUUUCAACAACCUAUGUAUACCUAUGUAAUGAGCUAUAAUAACAACCCUCAACUCUCAGUGACUUAUUUCUUGCCAAUGCUGCAUGUAAUAUUUAGGUCAAUGGGGGCUUUGUUCCAUAUCAUGCCCACUCAGAGACCCAGGUGAUAGAGACUUUACUAUCUGAAACAUUCCCAGUGUCUAGGGUAAGAGGAAGAAGUGGUGAUAUAAUUAAAGUCUUCCAUAGUUCAUUGGUGAAAGCAAAUUAGAUGGCCAUACCCGAAAUCAAGGAAGAAUGGAAGUGUAAUUCCACCAAUUACUCAAAGAAGAAGAACCAGAAAUAUUCAGUGAAGAGCAUUAAUGAGUACCACAAUAUUAUUGUUAUUAUUGUUCUUUCUCUCUUUUUACUUUGUAAACACAAUUAAACCUCACGUAGGUUAAGUAACUUGUCCAAGGUCAAAUAUUUAACCACAGUA
rnacentral:lncRNA from 1 species